rnacentral:lncRNA from 1 species
AACCUUCAAUAGCGUCAGUCAGGCUUCAACAAUGCCAUCCGGACUUUCAUAGGAUCUCCCAAAUUUUUUUAGUGGAUGAACCUCCCCAAUGCCAUCCGAAGUCCACCGCCGGCCUACCCUCCAUCAGAUUCUUCAUGAACCCGAACUUCCCCAACCGAAAGUCUUUGUCCGAGCUUCUACAGCAGAUGGUUCCCACCUGUAGCAGCAGUGCUCUAGGAACCCAACAACAAUAAACCCAUCACAACCUCAGAAACAUCCGAGCUUCUCCUAGAUCGAUGAGAUAGAGAGCCAUUCUGCUCCAUCAGACAUCCCAACCGAGCUCUCGCUG